rnacentral:misc_RNA from 1 species
GAUGAAGAACGUAGCGAAACGCGAUAGUUAAUGUGAAUUGCAGAAUUCAGUGAAUCAUCGAAUCUUUGAACGCACAUUGCGCCCCCUGGUAUUCCGGGGGGCAUGCCUGUCCGAGCGUCAUUGCUGCCCUCAAGCACGGCUUGUGUGUUGGGCCUCCGUCCUCCUCCCGGGGGACGGGCCCGAAAGGCAGCGGCGGCACCGCGUCCGGUCCUCGAGCGUAUGGGGCUUCGUCACCCGCUCUUGUAGGCCCGGCCGGCGCUUGCCGACACAUCAAUCUUUUUUCCAGGUUGACCUCGGAUCAGGUAGGGAUACCCGCUGAACUUAAGCAUAUCAAUAAGCGGAGGA